UUUGAUCGUGAUAAGAUGGAUCAAAUUGUAUCUCCUUAUCAAAGAAGCGUGUCAAUCAAAUUGGCAUACUUGUUAGAUAAUCCAGAUCAGGGGGCUAGGGAUUCAAGGACCAUGGUGGACACUCAAGGGGAUCCUAUACAGGAUCCCCUUCCAAUUUAUCCAAGACCAGCCAAAUGGCGCCCAACAUGUGUCAAAUAGAAUUAAAAAAAAAGAAAAAAA
rnacentral:lncRNA from 1 species